GACGAACGCUGGCGGCGUGCUUAACACAUGCAAGUCGAACGGAAAGGCCCUGCUCUUGUGGGGUGCUCGAGUGGCGAACGGGUGAGUAACACGUGAGUAACAUGCCCUUGACUUUGGGAUAACUUCAGGAAACUGGGGCUAAUACCGGAUAGGAGCUCCUGCUGCAUGGUGGGGGUUGGAAAGUUCCGGCGGUUGGGGAUGGACUCGCGGCUUAUCAGCUUGUUGGUGGGGUAGUGGCUUACCAAGGCUUUGACGGGUAGCCGGCCUGAGAGGGUGACCGGGGUCCAUGGGACUGAGGUAGGGCCCAGACUCGAACGGGAGGCAGUAGUCGGGAAUCUGGCGGAACAGGCCGGAGCCAGAGGCAGCGACGCCGGGUGCGGAAAACCCGCCUUCGGGUGAUAAACCGCUUUCUCCUGUGACGUGGCGUGCGUGACGGUAAUGAGUAAAGAAGCACCGGCUAACUACGUG
rnacentral:rRNA from 1 species